rnacentral:rRNA from 1 species
UACAGAGGGUGCGAGCGUUGUUCGGAAUUACUGGGCGUAAAGCGCGCGCAGGCGGCCCUUUAAGUCUACCCGUGAAAUGCCGGAGCUCAACUCCGUGCACGCCGGGGGAUACUGGGGGGCUGGAGACAUGUAGAGGCAAGCGGAAUUCCGGGUGUAGCGGUGGAAUGCGUAGAGAUCGGAAGGAACGUCGAUGGCGAAGGCAGCCACCUGGCAUAAUACUGACGCUGAGGCGCGAAAGCGUGGGUAGCGAACAGG